rnacentral:rRNA from 1 species
UACGAAGGGGGCUAGCGUUGCUCGGAAUCACUGGGCGUAAAGCGCACGUAGGCGGAUUGUUAAGUCAGGGGUGAAAUCCUGGAGCUCAACUCCAGAACUGCCUUUGAUACUGGCGAUCUCGAGUCCGGGAGAGGUGAGUGGAACUGCGAGUGUAGAGGUGAAAUUCGUAGAUAUUCGCAAGAACACCAGUGGCGAAGGCGGCUAACUGGCCCGGUACUGACGCUGAGGUGCGAAAGCGUGGGGAGCAAACAGG